CUCAUAUAAAGUAUAAUGCAAAUAUUCCAAAAUCCAAAAAAAGUCUGAAAUCCAAAACACUUCUGGUCCCAAGCAUUUCAGAUAAGAAAUAUUAAACAUGUAAAAACAUUCAGCUGGCCAGGCAGUGGCUCGCACCUGUAAUCCCAGCACUUUGGGAGGCCGAGGUGGAAGGAUCACUUAAGACAAGGAGUUCAAGACCAGCCUGGGCAAUGUAGUGAGAUCUCAUCUCUACCAAAAAAAUUUUUUUAAAUUAACAGUGUGUGGUGGUGUAAGUCUAUAGUCCCAGCUACUCUGGGGGCUAAGAUGGGACGAUUGCUUGAGCCCAGGAGGUCAAGUCUGCAGUGAGCUAUUAUUGCACUACUGCACUCCAGUCUGGGCAACAGAGCAGCACUCUGUCUCAAACAAAACAAAACAAAACAAAGCAAAACAAAACAAAACAAAAAAGCAAAAUUCAGCUGACUAGGAAUAGAAAGUGUGAAGAAUUUGGCCUUGCCCAAGGAAAGGCCUGGCCAUUGUCCCUGGCUCCUGAGAGGUAGCCUCUAAACCCAUGGAAUUCCCCAAGUGGUAAGAAUAUUUCUCAAGCUGGGCACUGUGGUGUGCACCCAGCUACUCAGGAUGCUGAGGUGGGAGGAUCACUUGAGCCCAGAAGUUUGAGGCUGCAGUAAACUCUGAUCACACCACUGCACUCCAGCCUGAGUAACAGACUGAGACCCUGUCUCUUAAUAAAAAGUUUAUUUCUUUGUUAUUCAAGUGGGCCCCUAAGAUUACAUCUGAUAGUUUAUGCUAAUGAGGUGACUCAUGAUGGGCUCCUUGAUGGAUCUCACCAUGAUACUGGCCUAACUUCCAGGGAUAGGGGAGGGAGAUGGGAGACUGAGUUCAACCACCAUCAUGCCUGUAUAAUGAAAACUCCAAUAAAAACUCUGGACACUGAAGUUAGGACGAGCUUCCUGGAUUUGCAACACUCUGUGUGCACUUUCACACAUCGAUGCUGAGAGGAUAACAUCUCCUGAUGACAAUGAAAGCUUUGCAUUUGGAAUCCUCCUAGACUCUGCUCUAUGUGCCCCUUCCCAUGGCUGAUUUUAGAGUAUCCUUUCUCUGGAAUAAACUGUGACCUUGAGAAUAAUAGCUAGCUUUCACUGAGUUCUGUCACUUCUUUUUUUUUGAGAUGGAGUCACACUCUGUCGCCCAGGCUGGAGUGCAAUGGCACGAUCGAUCUCGGCUCACUGCUUCACCUCCCAGGUUCAAGCAAUUCUCCUGCCUCAGCCUCCCAAGUAGCUGGGACUACAGGCAUGCGCCACCAUACCUGGCUAAUUUUUGUAUUUUUAGUAGAGAUGGGAUUUCACCAUGUUGGCCAGGCUGGUCUCGAACUCCUGAAGAAGAAAAAUCUAAAACCUCCUCGGCCUCCUAAAGUGCUGGGAUUACAGGCAUGAGCCACCACAUCUAGCCUGAGUUCUGUCACUUCCUCAGUGAAUUGUUCGACCGGAGGGUGGUUUUGGGAAAACCCCAAACUUGAAGCUAAUAUCAGAAGUAAGGACAGUAUUGUGGAGGACUGGGUUCUUAGACCUUGCAGUUUGGCUGACUUGGGGGGUAGAAGGCAACUUUCUCAACCUCAUGGGAGCAUAUACAAAAAAAAAAAAAAAUCUACAACUGUAAACACCUAUAUUUGAAAAGUAGAGAGAUCUCAAAUCAAUUAACUAAACUUCUACCCUAAGACACUGGAAAAAGAGCAAACUAAACCUAAAGCAAGAAGAAUGAAGGAAAUAACGUAUAUUAGAGUUUAAAUUAAUGAAACAGGCAACAGAAAAACACUAAAGAAAAUCAACAAAAUGAAUAGUUGGUCCUUUGAAAAGAUCAACAAGGCUAGACUGAUUAAGAAAAAAACAGAGAAAGGCUGGGUAUGGUGGCUCACAUCUGUAAUCCCAGUCCUCUGGGAGGCCAAGGUGGGAAGAUCACUUGAGGCCAGGAGUUCAAGACCAGCCUCAGUGUGCUCUCUUUGGCAGCACAUAUACUAAAAUUGGAACAAUACAGAGAAGAUUAGCAUGGCCCCUGCACAAGGAUGAUGUGCAAAUUUUUGAAGUGUUCCAUAUUUUUAAAAAUUUUUAAAUUAAGAAAAUAUAUGUAAAUAUAUCUAAAUUAUAAAAUUUAAAAUAUAUAUACCUAUAAAAAAGUAUAUGUAUAUAUAUUUCAUGACAUUUAUAUAUAUGUAUAAUAACAUAUAUAUAUAUAUUUGGGAGGCCAAGGCAGGUGGAUCACUUGAGGUCAGGAGUUUGAGACCAGCCUGGCCAACAUGGUGAAACACUGUCUCUACUAAAAAUACAAAAAAAAAAAAUUUAGUCGGAUGUGGUGACACCUGCUUGCAAUCCCAGCUAUUCUGGAGGCUGAGGUGGGAAGAUCACUUGAACCUGGGAGGUGGAGGUUGUGGAGGUUGCAGUGAGCCAAGAUCGCAUCACUGCUCUCCAGCCUGGAUGACAGAGUGAAACUCUGUCUCAAAAAAAAAAAAAAAAAAAAAAAAAAAAAAAAAUAUAUAUAUAUAUAUUUAUAUAUAUUUAUAUAUCUAUAUCUAUCUAUCUAUCUAUCUAUCUAUCUAUCUAUCUAUAUAUAGAGAGACCCCAUCGCUCCAAAAAAAUGAAAAAUAAAAAAAAUUAGCCAGUUAUGAUGACAUGUACCUGUAGUCCUAGCUACCUGGGAGGCUGAGGCAGGAGGAUUGCUUGAGCCCAGGAGUUCAAAGUUACAGUGAGCUACAAUCACACUACCGCACUCCAGCCUGGGUGACUGAGUGAGAUCCUGUCUCUCUAAAACAAGAACAGAAACAAAAAAUGGAGAAGAUUCAAAUUAACUAAACUCAGGAAUGAAAGAGGGAGCAUUACUACUGACCUUUCAAAAAUAAGGAAGGUUAUAAGGGUAUACUAUAAAUGACUAUGCCAACAAAUUAGAUACCUUAGAUGAAAUAGACAAAUACCUAGAAAAUCACAAACUACUGAAAUUGAUUCAAGAAGAAAUAUAAAUUCUGAAUAGACCUAUAAUAAAAAGAGAAAGAGUAAUUGGAUAAGUAAUCUAAAAGCAUUUCACAAAGAAAAGUGAAGGCUUUAAUGGUGAAUUUUACAAAACAUUAAAGACUUAACACCAAUUCUUCACAAAUUCUUCCAAAUAACAGAAGAGAGAAUACUUCUAAACUCAUCCUAUGAGGGCAGUAUUAAUCCUGAUACCAAAACAAUACAAAAACAUCAGAAGAAAAUUAUAUACCAAUAUGUCUUAUGAAUUUAGAUGCAAAAAUCCUGAACUAGCCAACCAAAUUCAGCAACAUAUAAAAAGGGUUGGCCAGGCACAGUGGCUUACACCUGUAAUCUUAGCACUUUGGGAGGCCGAGGCAGGCGGAUCAUGAGGUCAAGAGAUUGAGACCAUCAUGGCUAACACGGUGAAACCCUGUCUCUACUAAAAAUACAAAAAUUAGCUGGACAUGGUGGCAUGCACCUGUACUCCCAGCUACUAGGGAGGCUGAGGCAGGAGAAUAGCUUGACCCAGGAGGCGGAGAUUGCAGUGAGCCAAGAUCGUGCCACCAUACACCAGCCUGGCAACAGAGUGAGAGUCUGUCUCAAAAAAAAAAAAAAGAGUUAUAUACCAUGACAAAGUAGGAUUUGUAUCAGAAAUGCAAGGUUGGUUUGACAUCCAAAAUCAAUUAAUGUAUUAUGCCAUAUCAAUAGAACAGAGGACAAAACCCACAUUUCAAUGUGGUCUGUUGAUGACCUCAAUACACACAGCUUGGCUGGGAUGGUGAAACCCUGUCUCUACUAAAAAUACAAAAAAAAAAAAAAAUUAGCUGGGCAUGGUGACGGGCACCUGUAAUCCCAGCUACUUGGGAGGCUGAGGCAGGAGAAUCACUUGAACCCAGGAGGUGGAGGUUGCAGUGAGCUGAGAUCGCGCCACUGCACUCCAACCUGAGCGACAGAGUGAGACUCUAUCUCAAAAAUAAAAAAAAAAGAAAAGAAAAAAAAAACCUCAACAAACUAGAUAUAGAAGGGGAUUUUUCUCAACCUGAUAAAGGGUAGCUACAAAAACCCUCUGCUAAUGUCACACCUAAUGAUGAAAGUCUAAAUGUUUUCCCUCUGAGAUCAAGAACAAGACAAGAAUGUCCACUCUCUGUGCUUCUAUUCAACACUGUACUGCAGGUUCUGUCCAUGGCAAUUAGGUAAGAAAAUGAAAUUUAUUUCAUAUACAGCUGGGCAUGGGGGCUUACAUCUGUAAUCCCAGCACUUUGGGAGGUGGAAGUGGGUGGAUCACUUGAGUCCAGGUGUUUAAGACCAGCCUGGGCAGCAUAGUGAGACUUUGUCUCUAUUUUUUAAUAAAUAAAUAAAUAAAUAGCAGAUCAACAUACAAAUCAGUUGUGUUUCUAUACAUUAGAAACGAACAAUCUAAAAAUGAAAUUAAUAAAAUAAUUUUAUUUACAAGGACGUCAAAAAGAAUAAAAUAGGAAACAAUUUAACAAAACAAAUGUAGAAGGUAUACUCCGUUUUUUUGUUUUGUUUUGUUUUGUUUUGAGGCAGAGUCUCGCUCUGUCGCCGGGCUACAGUGCAGUGGCAUGAUCUCGGCUCACUGCAACCUCCAGCUCCCUGGUUCAAGCUAUUCUCCUGCCUUAGCCUCCCAAGUAGCUGGGAUUACAGGCAUGUGCCACCACGCCCAGCUAAUUUUUGUAUUUUUAGUAGAGACAGGGUUUCACCUUCUUGGCCAGGAUGGUCUCGAUCUCCUGACCUUGUAAUCCACCUGCCUCAGCCUCCCAAAGUGCUGGGAUUACAGGUGUGAGCCACCACGCCUGGCCAGAAUGUAUACUCUGAAAACUACAACAUAUUGAAGAAAGAAAUUAAGGAUCUAAAUAAAUGGAAAGACAUUUCAUGUUAGUGGAUCUAUAGACUGAACACAAUCUCUAUAACCACCCCAGUUGACUUCUUUGC
rnacentral:snRNA from 10 species